rnacentral:lncRNA from 1 species
CCCGACCUCGCUCUCUCUCAUUCUCUCUCGUGAGCCGCAGGGUCUCUGUGACCAGCGCGCCGGGCUGCGGACGGAGGGCAGCGGACCGUCGAGGGGUCGACCGCGGGCCGGUCGUUAGCCCGCGGCUCCGCGGUCGACUUCAAUUAGCCCGCCGAGACCAGCGCGGUGAGAACACGCCGUCGGGCGGCGGCGGGGGCGCUCUCACACCUACAGUCAGAUUGAAGGUCUGGCCACAGCGUGAAAACCACGAGUUACAUCAGAGAACGAUGCAAAUACGUGUGUAUGAGCGCCACUGUCAUAGGAGGGGAGGUCUCGUGUCAGCGAGGAUGUUGUGAAGCAGCAGAUAAUUCUCUCUCUCUCUCUCUAUCUUCUUCUUCUUCUUCUUCUUCUCCUUCCUGCUGUUGUUGUACAAGACAGACUGAGUGGAAAUGUCACUGAGCACGGUGACAGUUGAUGAGGAGGAGGAGGAGGAGGAGGGGGAGGAGGGGGAGUGGAACACGUCUGUGCGGCGGGCACGAGUGGCACGACACUGACGGCGAGGCAGAAAGAGGAAGAGAGAGAAAAUUUGAAAAAUGAAAUAAAGAAAAUCGAGGAGCGGCGUGAGAGCAGAGCGGACGACUCCCACCGAUGGUGACAGCAGACGAUGAAUGUGAGAUUUGCGCGUGUGUGUGUGUGUGUGUGUGUGUGUGUGAGUGUGUUUGAGUGUGUGUGUGCAAUUAUGUAUAACCCCCCCCCCUCUCCCUCUCUCUUUCGACCCCCUACGGUGGCCCUGAUGGGACACAGCCUUUCAUUUGCUCAUUGCGGUAAUUGGUGUGUGUGUGAGAGUGUGUGUGUGCGUAUUUCAUCCAGACGCUAUGGGACCGUGCGCUCCCAACCCAUCACCCAUCACCCCUCUCCUCCACUCCUUCACUGCUUCCUAUCUGUGUGGCUUUUCCUGAAAAAAAAAAAAAUAAAUGCUGGCAAGUGUGCGCACUCAUACCUGGCUGCUGUCGGUCCUCCGCUGCCGGGAGGUGAUGGACGGGGAGGCGGAGGAGAGCUGGAGGGCUGGAGGGCUGAUGUGGCGCGUCCGUCCGAGGAGGAGGAGAACGAGCCUCCGGUGCGCUGCUGCCUCCUCUUUUAAAAAGCCUCCUCUGGUCCAAUAGGAGGCCUGUCGGCGCUGAUGAGAGCUGACGUCACCCACCCAUCCACCCCACCCCCACCCCCCACCCUUCCGUCCUUCCUC